GACAGAGGGGGCAAGCGUUGCUCGGAAUCACUGGGCGUAAAGGGCGCGUAGGCGGCUUGUCGCGUCGUCCGUGAAAACCUGCGGCUCAACUGCAGGCUGGCGGUCGAUACGGGCAGGCUGGAGUUCGGUAGGGGAGACUGGAAUUCCUGGUGUAGCGGUGAAAUGCGCAGAUAUCAGGAGGAACACCGGUGGCGAAAGCGCUCUGCUAGGCCGCAACUGACACUGAGGGACGAA
rnacentral:rRNA from 1 species